rnacentral:rRNA from 1 species
AUUGAACGCUGGCGGCAGGCCUAACACAUGCAAGUCGAGCGGAGCGGCGGACGGGUGAGUAAUGCCUAGGAAUCUGCCUGGUAGUGGGGGAUAACGUCCGGAAACGGGCGCUAAUACCGCAUACUAUCAGAUGAGCCUAGGUCGGAGUAGCUAGUUGGUGGGGUAAAGGCUUAACAAGACGUUGAUCCGUAACUGGUCUGAGAGGAUGACCAGUCAAAGUGGAACUGAUAAACGGUCCAGACUCCGACGGGAGGGAGCAGGGUGGAAUAUUCGGCAAUGGGCGAAAGACUGAUCCAGCCAUGCCGCGUGUGUGAAGAAGGUCUUCGGAUUGUAAAGCACUUUAAGUUGGGAGGCGUUACCAACAGAAUAAGCACCGGAUAACUUCGUGCCAGCAGCCGCGGGAAUUC